GAUGAACGCUGGCGGCGUGCCUAAUACAUGCAAGUCGAGCGAACGGACGAGAAGCUUGCUUCUCUGAUGUUAGCGGCGGACGGGUGAGUAACACGUGGAUAACCUACCUAUAAGACUGGGAUAACUUCGGGAGACCGGAGCUAAUACCGGAUAAUAUUUUGAACCGCAUGGUUCAAAAGUGAAAGACGGUCUUGCUGUCACUUAUAGAUGGAUCCGCGCUGCAUUAGCUAGUUGGUAAGGUAACGGCUUACCAAGGCAACGAUGCAUAGCCGACCUGAGAGGGUGAUCGGCCUCACUGGAACUGAGACACGGUCCAGACUCCUACGGGAGGCAGCAGUAGGGAAUCUUCCGCAAUGGGCGAAAGCCUGACGGAGCAACGCCGCGUGAGUGAUGAAGGUCUUCGGAUCGUAAAACUCUGUUAUUAGGGAAGAACAUAUGUGUAAGUAACUGUGCACAUCUUGACGGUACCUAAUCAGAAAGCCACGGCUAACUACGUG
rnacentral:rRNA from 1 species